UCAGAUGCUCCCUCACAACCUCCGUUUUCAGAUCUCCGAUCUCUCUCCUUAGCGGCUUCUCCAUCUCCUGAAUCACAAAACCAUCAACUCCGGUCAUCAAUUACAGAAACAGAUCGAAAAUCAAUUUUUAUGGUUUUUCUAGCUGCUGAGCUUGAACUUCUUCACAGGCCUUUACUCAGAUGGGUGUAUUUGGUAAAUUACAACCGACAAUAAAUCCAUGUCGUCCUCAGCCCUCAAGUCCAAGAAGGGAAAGACACGUUAUAUAUCUUCCUCUCAACGUCAGUUCGAUCUCUCUCUCUUUUCUUGUUUGUUAAUAGUAUCUGAAUUGUGUGUGGGUCAGAGGUCGGUGAAGAAGAAAGGGCUGUAUUCUUUACCCCCGGUCAUGGCAGGCUUCUUUAUCACUUGUGAUCGUGCUGCUGCUUUAUAUGCAAAAGUAUCCAAUUUCUCUCUUAAUGUCUAUGGUCUGAAUAGAAAGAGAGUUUAGGGGUGUAUUGGGAUGGCUUUUCGUGGAGAUGCAAAGCUGGGUUUUGGAUGGUAAAUUACCUAUUUGCGUUUUUGGAUGGUAAAAAAGCUGGGUAUCUCUUUCAUGAACUGCAGAGGCUGCACUGAAGGAAUUGAGGAAUAGGUUCCUACCUAUUUACCUAUCUACCUGACUGCCUCUUUGUUUCUAGAAAGUCUUUAUAUUGUACUUUCUUUAUUUUAGGAGAGCUUUUAAGGUCUUGAUUGCUUUAUUUUUGCUGGAUCUAGAGGGAUUCAGAGUUCUAAAUUCAAAGACCUUCAGAAACUCAUUGCCAACAAAUUAGAAUGCUCAGUAGUAAAGAAAGAGGCAGUGAAUGAAUCAAGUCCUAUUAAGGUUUUGGUUGCUGCCUAUACAAGAGGCAGUUUUCUUUUCUAUUUGAGUUUCAGUUCACUUGAGUAGGACUUUUCAUGAAUGAAAUACAAUGCUCUACCAUGUUUUUCCUAUAUAUUCAAAUGGCUGUAAUUUAUGCUUAUUCCACAUUUUUUAUUCUUCAGACCAAAUCAAAGUAUUGCUUGACCAACAAGAGAGGUUGUAUGAAAGACAAGCUGAACUACAAGCUCUACUGGAAGCUUCCAAAGGUCCUGGACCCCCUGUUAAUGGGGCUUCAACAGCCACAGAAGGCUGGUCUGGAUCAUCGCGAGUGCUUGACCUAGAAGAGAUUCUCGAGUGAUGCGGCCGGGAUGAUGAUUCCGAAUCACCUACUGCAGAUUCUCAUGAUUUACUUAACGACAGCGCAUUAUUUCUUCGGAGUAGAGUUGAAAGGGUAGUAUCUGAUUGCUCUGACGUUGGUCUGUUAGGGGAUCAAGAUUUUGGUAAGUUCACUACAAGCAGAUUAGUUUUUGCUUUACUGGACAGAUGUGGGUUUGUGACAUUUGGUGCUUUUACUUGCUGCUUAAUGUGAUUGGUUCAAUUUUUAGAAGCAUAUAUGGGACGUUUUGAGCAGGAGCUUAGCUCCAUGGAGGCCGAGAAUGCUAAGGUUUCCAAUGAAAUUUGAGGGUCUAGUUCGAACCCAUGAGGAAGAUGAGGGUACUAUCUUGGUCUGGCAUGCUACUGCACAUUGACUUGUGUAUUAUAUUCUUUUCCGAUGAUCUAUUGGCUUGCUUUGAGGAGGAAAAGGUAGCAUCAGAAGUUCUCUUAGUUGCACCCUGGUAAAAAGUACUGUUUGAUUACACAGAUCCUACGCCAAAAUGAAUGCUUUUUUGCCUCAAGGUUUGCUUUUUACAAUCUUAAUUUCAUUUCAUUUUUUGUUUUCAAUUUGUGUAACCAUAAAUUUAUCUAAAACAAUGCCUUUUGGUUAUUGAUUUGGAAAAUGAAAAAUGGAAUAACCCUUCACCAAGAAUGUUGGAUGCAACUAACAGUUGUAAACUAAUUUUCAUAGUCUUGCUUUUGGUUAGAUUUCUGCUCAGUCUGGCCUAUUAUAGUUUGUACAGUCAUCCACUAUUGUUGUGCAGGGACAUGUGUGAAGUGAUGGCAAAAAUCAUGGAAGUCUAGGUUGCUAGAGCUAUUGUUAGCAUGAUUGGUCAGUUUGGUAUUGAGUUCUACUCUGCAUAUCUUGUUGCUGAGAAGGAAGAGGAAGGAACUGUAUAGAGGAAGUUGAUGGAGAGAAGGAAAUGGACAAGUACAAUAUAUUUCUGGCCUUGAUGUUUUUGGCCUUUAUGUUUAGGUAGGAUUAGUAUGUUGAUGUUGGGAUGAUGAUGUAAUGAACUGGUUUUGAAUGUUCAAUCAAUGGAUGUGUUUUUGAAUGUGUUAGUCAAUU